GUCGUGGGGUCAGGAAAAUCCGAUUACCGGUUCAGGACUCUCUUCUUUUGAAAUACAAUGGUCCUUUCCAUCAAUGACCCACCAAGGAUGGAGAAGGACAGAAACCACAUGGAUGAAAAGAUAUUAGACCUCACCCUGGAGAUCAUCUCCUUGAUAACUGGAGAGGAUUACACAGUAGUGAAGAAGUCGUCUGGUGAGUGUGUGACACCCCGUGUGUCAGGAG